GAUUUUGCCUUCGGGUACAAUUGAGACAGGUGGGUGCAUGGUUGUCGUCAGCUCGUGCCGUGAGAUGUUGGGUUAAGUCCCGCAACGAGCGCAACCCUGUGUUUAGUUGCAAACAGGUCAAGCUGUGCACUCUAGACAGACUGCCGUGGACAACACGGAGGAAGGUGGGGAUGACGUCAAAUCAUCAUGCCCCUUAUGAUCUGGGCUACACACGUGCUACAAUGGCCGGUACAACGGGCAGCGAAGGAGCGAUCCGGAGCGAAUCCUAAAAAGCCGGUCCCAGUUCGGAUUGCAGGCUGAAACUCGCCUACAUGAAGUUGGAGUUGCUAGUAAUCGCGAAUCAGAAUGUCGCGGUGAAUGCGUUCCCGGGUCUU
rnacentral:rRNA from 1 species